GAUGAACGCUGACAGAAUGCUUAACACAUGCAAGUCAACUUGAACUUCGGUUUGGGUGACGGACGGGUGAGUAACGCGUAAAGAACUUGCCUCACAGCUAGGGACAACAUUUGGAAACGAAUGCUAAUACCUGAUAUUAUGAUUUUAGGGCAUCCUAGAAUUAUGAAAGCUAUAUGCGCUGUGAGAGAGCUUUGCGUCCCAUUAGCUAGUUGGAGAGGUAACGGCUCACCAAGGCGAUGAUGGGUAGCCGGCCUGAGAGGGUGAACGGCCACAAGGGGACUGAGACACGGCCCUUACUCCUACGGGAGGCAGCAGUGGGGAAUAUUGGACAAUGGACCAAGAGUCUGAUCCAGCAAUUCUGUGUGCACGAUGAAGUUUUUCGGAAUGUAAAGUGCUUUCAGUUGGGAAGAAAAAAAUGACGGUACCAACAGAAGAAGUGACGGCUAAAUACGUG
rnacentral:rRNA from 1 species